UAGAAACCGUAUGACUGACGGAAGUGGAAUUUACCACAUGGAGUACGGUUUUAUAGAUUUGCCGACCGUCUGGGCGUAAAGA
rnacentral:ncRNA from 2 species